CCCUUAGAUGUUCUGGGCUGCACACGCGCUACACUGAAGGGAUCAGCGUGUUCUUUUCCUGGUCCGAAAGGAUCGGGUAACCCGCUGAACCCCCUUCGUGGUAGGGAUCGGAGCUUGCAAUUAUUCUCCGUGAACCAGGAAUUCCCAGUAAGAGCAAGUCAUAAGCUUGCGUUGAUUACGUCCCUGCCCUUUGUACACACCGCCCGUCGCUACUACCGAUUGGACGUUUUAGUGAGGAUUUUGGACUGAGCCAAUGGUGGUUCACACCACUGUUGUGCAUGGAAAGAUCUCCAAACUUGAGCGUUUAGAGGAAGUAAAAGUCGUAACA
rnacentral:rRNA from 1 species